rnacentral:misc_RNA from 1 species
UUUCUCUUUCAUAUUUGUUUAAUGGCUCAUUUUGUAUUGGGUAGAUGUAUCCAGAGAAAUAAAGAUGGGUUUGGAUUGAUCUCAUCCUUCUCUGCUUAUUGCUACCUUUCCCCAUCUUGCAGAUUUUGAACCAUUAGUAUUCUGUACAAGUUUGUAUCUUGAAAGUGUGGAACUGAAAAUAUCAAUAUAUAAGAGACUUU